AUAAUGGCCUGAGAUUUAUUUUUACACGCUUAUAAUUCUUUAUAUUUAAUUUUCUAUUAGUUUAGUAUAAUAUAAAAGAAGUUGGUGCUUGUUAUUGAAAGCUAAGUGUGUUGUGGAUAGGUUUGCCUGCGUACUGUGCGGAGCAGGCUGGGACGGACGACACAACCAGACGUCAGACACAAGGCACUAGGUUAAAAGGGUGCCAUAAACUGGUGCUUUAUUUAACGUAUUUUCGCAGAACAAGACAGUGACAGGGGCCGUGGUGGGUGCCUGCGUGUGCUGGUGCAAGCUUGGUGCCUGCCGGGAGGUGCCUGCAGUGCCACAAGGGAUAAUAUUGGUAAGAAACCGGCCCACCACUUGUCCAGCCAGCUAAUUUGCACAGUGUGAUGUAACAGGCGGUAACUGUGAUAGUGUUGUUACGUGUCACCCACAACAACAACAACACAGGGCUGUCAGAUACAAAUGUAGAGGGACGAAAUAGGGAAGCAGGAAGACCACCACCACCACCACCAUCACCACCAGCAGUGUGGAAGAAAGUUUAGGCAAGCGAAGAAAGUUGGAAAAUUAAUAAUUAAACGCUUGCUGUCUUUUAUUAUCUUGAGUAUAAAAUGGUUAUAUGACAAUCUCUCUCUCUCUCUCUCUCUCUCUCUCUCUCUCUCUCUCUCUCUCUCUCUCUCUCUCUCUCUCUCUCUCUCUCUCUCUCUCUCUCUCUCUCUCAGCUUUGUAUUAGUUACCCGUUGACAGAAGUGACAGCCGCGUUUUCUCUUGUCAGAUGUAAACAAAGCGGUAGUUUCCUUCCAGCUGGUGAUAAAACUCUUUCUCGCUCUUCCUCACUCUCCCACGUCACGGAAGCAGUGUGUGUGUGUGUGUGUGUGUGUGUGUGUGAAGAAGAAAAUGUUAUAUUAUAUCUACGUGUUUAAAAGUUUCCUUCAUUUAAGUCCAAAGAGGCUGGCUGGCUGAUGCUAAGGAAGGAAGAAAGGGGUGGUGUUUAGGGGUCUGGGAUGGAAAGCGAGUGAUGUGUUUUGUAGCCUUCAGAUAAAAAAUAUUAACAAAGUUUACACAGUGGGAAAAUUUUGGUGGUGAGAGAGAAAAUGACUAAAAUAUUACCUCAAAUUUAACCAAACGUGGUGGAGCUUCACACUCCUCAGCUGACCCUAAUCAAACCAAGCCUAACCCAAAGAAGCCUACCCUAACUUCUGUCUGGUGCUUCCUCCUCCCCAAGACUGGCUAUCUCGUGUCUUAAUCCCAAGCUGGCCUAACCAAACUUUACCUAACCUAACCUAAGCAAUUCUAACCUAGCCAAACCUUACCUAAGCAAGCCUAACCUAGCCAAGCCUUACCUAACCUAACCUAACCUAACCUAGCCAAACCUUACCUAAGCAAGCCUAACCUAGCCAAGCCUUACCUAACCUAACCUAACCUAACCUAACCUAGCCAAACCUUACCUAAGCAAGCCUAACCUAGCCAAGCCUUACCUAACCUAACCUAACCUAACCUCACCUAACCUAACCUAAAGAAACCUAGCCAAACCUAACAUAACCUAGCCUAACCAAACCUAACCUAACCUACAUCCUCUUCCCACGGCCCCACUUAACCAAACCUAAUGUAACUUUCAGAGCAACGGCAACCCUCCGAUCCGGCAAGCAAGUUGGCGGCAGCGAUGGCGGUGGCGGCGGCAGUGGUGGUGAGGUGGACGGCAGGGACAGAGGGGCAGUACAGGCUGCGGACAUCAAGGAGAAGGUGAGCAGGGUGUUGUGUUGGUGUGUGUUGGUGUGUGUUGCUAAGCUGAGAUGCAAUAUUUGUCACUCAACACUCGUGCAACACUGCCUCCAUGCACAAGUGUGUCGGGAAAAUGAUUUAAAGUCGUAAAAAUGUUCUUGUUUUACUUUAUUUAUUUAUUUAUUGAUUUUGUUUUAUUUUUUGUAUAUAUAGGAGGGACACUGGUCAAAGGGAACUAAGUACAAUAAGAAAAAAAUACUGAGAAAAAAUAAAAGAUAAAAAAGACCUCACUUAACCUAACCUAACCUAACAUAAGCUAACUUAACCUAACAUAACUUAGCCUAACCUCUUUUAACCUAACAUAACUUAACCUAACUUAACUUAACCUAACCUAACCUAACUUAACCUAACCUCUUUUAACCUAACCUCUUUUAACCUAACCUAACCUAACUUAACUUAACCUAACCUAACUUAACCUAACCUCACUUAACCUCACUUAACCUAACCUAACGUAACUUAACCUAACCUAACCUAACCUCACUUAACCUAACCUCACUUAACCUAACAUAACCUAACCUCACUUAACCUAACGUAACCUAACCUAACCUAACACCCACAGAGGAACGCACGGACAAGCAAGGUGUUAUUCGGCAGUCUGAUCCUGGACCUGCUCGGCUUGAAGGUGGUGCUGCCCGUGUCUCCUGCUCUCCUCGACUGUUACUCCAAGCACAACACCAGCGGCUUGUAUUCCUCUCAGCUCUCCUGUGUGACUUAUUACCAGCAUAUCAUCGGUUUCGCUGCGAGGUUCCAUUCUGUCUUGUUUGGUAAUUAAGUGGGUUUGUUGUGUUUUGUAUUGGUUUAUAUAUUUUUAGCUUGUUUUUAUUAUUAUUUUUUUCAAUUUUUUUAUCCUAUUAUCUAUUUAUUUAUUUUUUGUUUGUUUGUUUGUUUACAGGGUGUGUGUGUGUUUGUUUGUGUUCCUGCUGUUCAAUAUUGCAGCUUGUUUUCUUUAUUAUUGUUAUUUUGUGUUUUAUUCUAUUUCAGUGUUCUGAGGGAGUCUUCAGGUGUUUUUGGGGUGUUUUGGGGUGUUUUUGGAGUGUUUUGGGGUGUUUUUGGUGUGUUGUGAAGUGUUUUGAUGUGUUUUGGGGUGGUUAAGGGGUGUUUUGAAGUGUUUUGUGGUGUUGUGGAGGUGUUUUGGGAUUUUUGGUGUGUUUUAAAGUGUUUUGGGAUGUUUUUGGAAUGUUUUGAUGUGUUUUGAGAUGUUUAGGAGUAUUUUUGGAGUAUUUUGGUGUGUUUUUGGAGUGUUUUGGGAUGUGUUUGUAGUGUUUUGGGGUGUUUUGGGGUAUUUUGAAGGUGUUUUGGUGUGUUUUUGGAGUGUUUUGGGGUAUUUUGGGAUGUUUUGGUGUGUUUUGGGUUAUUUUGAGAGUGUUUUGGUGUGUUUUUGGAGUGUUUCUGGGUGUUUUGGAGUAUUUUGAGGGUGUUUAAAGGUGUUGUGGUAGUUUAAAAUAUAUUGUUAGUUUACUUUUUUUUAACUUUUUAUUUUCUUAUGCAUUAUUUUAUUUCUUAUUUAUAUUGUGGUGUGUUGUCGGUGUGUCCUAACCUAACCUAACCAGCCUACCCUCUCCUAACCUCCCCUCAACCCACAGGCACUGAUUGGCGUGACAUUCAGCAUAGGCUUCACCGUCGGGCACACUGUGGGGGCUGCGUUCUCCCGCUGGGGAAGUACUGGGUGGUUCGCGGCCUCGGCUGUCUACGCACGCACUCUCACUGUGGCUAACAUAAUAUUCUUUGCUGUCUUCUUCCAGGAAUCGCUGCCUGAGGGCAGAAGGAGGAGGGACAUCGGUGCCAGUUUGACCGAGGCUUGGGAGGUGAUCAAUCCUAGGGCUCUGUUCUCCGUCAGCUGUGUCAAGGGCCUGGGCAGAGAAGCCUGGAGUUAACGCUGAUCUUCGCGACCCACCACAAGCAUAGUUACGACUCGUUGGCGCAGGACCGCAAGUUUUCCUUCCUGGGCCUGGUCAUGGCAAUUACACAGAGAGGGUUUAUGCGAAGUGUUAAGACUGGAACUGAAAAAGCACCUGCCAAUUAGGCACACACCUACAUUGUGAUGCAGCUCCUUGGAGGUGGAGAGCUGGCUGCCUCAGAGGAUCAGGAAACACGAGAGGUUCACAGAGGCUCGCCUCGGGCUUCGGUCGUCGUGAGGAACCUGGUGUCAGCAGUUCACUACGUGCACAGGAAAAGCAUCAGUGUUCACGGAGACCUAAAGCCAGACAGGGGUGAAAAGGGUUGGUGUUGAGGAUAGACAGAAAAGAAAAGAAAGGAAAGGUAAAAAAAGGAAGUUUUUUUGCAUUGAUUUUCCAUCUGCUUAUUUUAAAGAAUUUAUUGCAUGGAAUAUUAUUGAUCUCCAUCAUUUGUAUGGCCUUUAUAAUAAAAAGUAUGAAU